GUACUUGCUUCAGCAGCACAGAUACUAAAAUUGGAAAGACAUAGAGAAGAUUAGCAUGGCCUCUGUGCAACGAAUAUACAUGAAUUCAUGAAUUGUUCUGUAUUUAA
rnacentral:snRNA from 1 species